rnacentral:lncRNA from 1 species
GCCAGUCAGCAAGCCGAGGAUCACCACCGGCAGCUGGAGGCCUAUCGGUACUUCCUGCCCAUCCAGACCCGGUGGCAGGACAACGACCAGUAUGGCCACGUGAACAAUGCCGUGUACUACAGCUACUUCGACACUAUUAUCAACCACUACCUGCUGAGGGAGCAGCGCUGCUUAACAACUAGAGAGCAUGGCUGGUAUGGGGCACACCAUCUGCUUCCCGCUCUUUUGUCAGUUUUGUGGCUCAUGGUACUGUGGCCUGGAAACCAGCUUGCUGAUAUCCCCCCUGGUGGGCUUCAUGGUGACCAAUCAGUGCAAAUACCAUACACCCAUCGGCUUCCCUCAGGUCCCACUGGCUGCCCUGGCUGUGGAGAAAGUGGGUCGCUCCAGUGUAUGUUACCGACUGGCUCUGUUUCCUCCUAAACCCACCAUGGAGCUGCCUUCAGUAAAUCACCAUGAUCUC